rnacentral:lncRNA from 1 species
AUUUCUAUUUGUCUGAGAUGGAAAACAGCUCAUGAUUGCCUGUUCCCCGAAUGAGAGCAUCAGUGGCAUCAGGAGGCAGGGAUCUCCUGCAGUACAUUGGGUACUAUCAGAUCUAUCAAGAGAGACUCGGCUUAGGCAAUGCAUCCAGUAACCUACAGAUAGUAAAUGGGGAUGCCAAAUUCAUAUUGAGACAUAGCGAGGUGGCUUGAGGCAAACAAAUAUUGAUCUGACAGGGAUGCUGCAGUGUGGUUCGAAAGAUAACAUGCAUACCCAAAAAUGGAUGGAGCUCAAUAAUGGAAUGAAGGAGAGCCAGUGAGUUUCGCUGCUAUCUGCGUCAGCCAGGAUCUCCUCAUUCCAGAAGAAUAACUGGAGGGGUCUGGGGUAGCAUCGAUCCUUGUGUAUCAGCCGGGAAAUGGAGAAGCUUGUUCUAAAUUCACUUGAAGCCAAAUUACAAAGGAGCAGACGGGAUCCCAGACACAAAGAUGGUACCAGCUACGAUUUAAGAUCCCAAGAAGAUGAAUCUGGAGUGGACCAAAAUCUGGUGUCGAGACUUACACCCUGUGUCAGCCAGCUGCCUGUGACCAUGACAAUCUGAGAUGGGUCAAUUUAAGGAGAGGAGCUGGGAGAUGGCAGGGUUGGUGAAGCUCUUGCUGUGUAAGAAUGAGGGACUGAAUUCAGGUCCUCAGUACCAAGGUAAAAAGCUGGCUGCAG